UACGGAGGAUCCAAGCGUUAUCCGGAAUCAUUGGGUUUAAAGGGUCCGUAGGCGGUUUUGUAAGGCCGUGGUGAAAGCCCAUCGCUCAACGGUGGAACGGCCAUUGAUACUGCAAGACUUGAAUUAUUGGGAAGCAACUAGAAUAUGUAGUGUAGCGGUGAAAUGCUUAGAGAUUACAUGGAAUACCAAUUGCGAAGGCAGGUUGCUACCAAUACAUUGACGCUGAUGGACGAAAGCGUGGGGAGCGAACAGG
rnacentral:rRNA from 1 species